CGUAUCACCCAAGACAACUUUACGGAGUUGACGAUUGACGGAGCGAAGCGACGUCAAAGCGUUCAUUAAAGUCGAGUUGGCUUAGGGAUACGUUCGUUGGGUAGGGGAGCGUUCUGUAAGCCUGUGAAGGUGUGUCGUGAGGCAUGCUGGAGGUAUCAGAAGUGCGAAUGCUGACAUAAGUAACGAUAAAGCGGGUGAAAAGCCCGCUCGCCGGAAGACCAAGGGUUCCUGUCCAACGUUAAUCGGGGCAGGGUGAGUCGACCCCUAAGGCGAGGCCGAAAGGCGUAGUCGAUGGGAAACGGGUUAAUAUUCCCGUACUUGGUGUUACUGCGAAGGGGGGACGGAGAAGGCUAUGUUGGCCGGGCGACGGUUGUCCCGGUUUAAGCGUGUAGGUGUGUGUUCCAGGUAAAUCCGGUUCACUUUAACACUGAGGCGUGACGACGAGGCACUACGGUGCUGAAGCAACAAAUGCCCUGCUUCCAGGAAAAGCCUCUAAGCAUCAGGUAACAUCAAAUCGUACCCCAAACCGACACAGGUGGUCAGGUAGAGAAUACCAAGGCGCUUGAGAGAACUCGGGUGAAGGAACUAGGCAAAAUGGUGCCGUAACUUCGGGAGAAGGCACGCUGACACGUAGGUGAAGUGAUUUACUCAUGGAGCUGAAGUCAGUCGAAGAUACCAGCUGGCUGCAACUGUUUAUUAAAAACACAGCACUGUGCAAACACGAAAGUGGACGUAUACGGUGUGACGCCUGCCCGGUGCCGGAAGGUUAAUUGAUGGGGUCAGCGCAAGCGAAGCUCCUGAUCGAAGCCCCGGUAAACGGCGGCCGUAACUAUAACGGUCCUAAGGUAGCGAAAUUCCUUGUCGGGUAAGUUCCGACCUGCACGAAUGGCGUAAUGAUGGCCAGGCUGUCUCCACCCGAGACUCAGUGAAAUUGAACUCGCUGUGAAGAUGCAGUGUACCCGCGGCAAGACGGAAAGACCCCGUGAACCUUUACUAUAGCUUGACACUGAACAUUGAGCCUUGAUGUGUAGGAUAGGUGGGAGGCUUUGAAGUGUGGACGCCAGUCUGCAUGGAGCCGACCUUGAAAUACCACCCUUUAAUGUUUGAUGUUCUAACGUGGACCCGUAAUCCGGGUUGCGGACAGUGUCUGGUGGGUAGUUUGACUGGGGCGGUCUCCUCCUAAAGAGUAACGGAGGAGCACGAAGGUUGGCUAAUCCUGGUCGGACAUCAGGAGGUUAGUGCAAUGGCAUAAGCCAGCUUGACUGCGAGCGUGACGGCGCGAGCAGGUGCGAAAGCAGGUCAUAGUGAUCCGGUGGUUCUGAAUGGAAGGGCCAUCGCUCAACGGAUAAAAGGUACUCCGGGGAUAACAGGCUGAUACCGCCCAAGAGUUCAUAUCGACGGCGGUGUUUGGCACCUCGAUGUCGGCUCAUCACAUCCUGGGGCUGAAGUAGGUCCCAAGGGUAUGGCUGUUCGCCAUUUAAAGUGGUACGCGAGCUGGGUUUAGAACGUCGUGAGACAGUUCGGUCCCUAUCUGCCGUGGGCGCUGGAGAACUGAGGGGGGCUGCUCCUAGUACGAGAGGACCGGAGUGGACGCAUCACUGGUGUUCGGGUUGUCAUGCCAAUGGCACUGCCCGGUAGCUAAAUGCGGAAGAGAUAAGUGCUGAAAGCAUCUAAGCACGAAACUUGCCCCGAGAUGAGUUCUCCCUGAGACUUAGAGUCUCCUGAAGGAACGUUGAAGACGACGACGUUGAUAGGCCGGGUGUGUAAGCGCAGCGAUGCGUUGAGCUAACCGGUACUAAUGAACCGUGAGGCUUAACCUUACA
rnacentral:rRNA from 3 species